rnacentral:rRNA from 1 species
AACGAACGCUGGCGGCAGGCCUAACACAUGCAAGUCGAGCGAGGACUUCGGUCCUAGCGGCGGACGGGUGAGUAACGCGUGGGAACGUGCCCUUUGCUUCGGAAUAGCCCUGGGAAACUGGGAGUAAUACCGGAUGAGCCCUUUGGGGGAAAGAUUUAUCGGCGAAGGAUCGGCCCGCGUUGGAUUAGGUAGUUGGUGGGGUAAUGGCCUACCAAGCCGACGAUCCAUGGCUGGUUUGAGAGGAUGAUCAGCCACACUGGGACUGAGACACGGCCCAGACUCCUACGGGAGGCAGCAGUGGGGAAUCUUAGACAAUGGGGGAAACCCUGAUCUAGCCAUGCCGCGUGAGCGAUGAAGGCCUUAGGGUUGUAAAGCUCUUUCAGCUGGGAAGAUAAUGACGGUACCAGCAGAAGAAGCCCCGGCUAACUCCGUG